rnacentral:rRNA from 1 species
GAUGAACGCUGGCGGCGUGCCUAAUACAUGCCAGUCGAGCGAACAGACGAGGAGCUUGCUCCUCUGACGUUAGCGGCGGACGGGUGAGUAACACGUGGAUAACCUACCUAUAAGACUGGGAUAACUUCGGGAAACCGGAGCUACUACCGGAUAAUAUAUUGAACCGCAUGGUUCAAUAGUGAAAGACGGCUUUGCUGUCACUUAUAGAUGGAUCCGCGCCGCAUUAGUUAGUUGGUAAGGUAACGGCUUACCAAGGCAACGAUGCGUAGCCGACCUGAGAGGGUGAUCGGCCACACUGGAACUGAGACACGGUCCAGACUCCUACGGGAGGCAGCAGUAGGGAAUCUUCCGCAAUGGGCGAAAGCCUGACGGAGCAACGCCGCGUGAGUGAUGAAGGUCUUCGGAUCGUAAAACUCUGUUAUUAGGGAAGAACAAAUGUGUAAGUAACUAUGCACGUCUUGACGGUACCUAAUCAGAAAGCCACGGCUAACUACGUG